AAAGAGUGAAAACACGGAUGCUAGACUUUCAGCAUGGAUUAGGUGAUCUUGAAAGUCGGGCUGAAUAGGCUGACACUGCACAUAUUCUGGUGAAAAAUAGGAAGUGUACGUGUUGUGUGUGUGUAUUUAUAUAUGUGUAUAUAUACACACACACACACACACACACACACACACUAUAUGGCCAAAAACUGUUGCUACAAAUUUGGAAGCACACAAUUGUAUAGACUGUCUUUGUAUGCUUUUAGCAGUACAAUUUCCCUUCACUGGAACUAAGAGGCCCAAACCUGUUCCAGCAUGACAAUGCCCCUGUGCACAAAGCGAGCUCCAUGAAGACAUGGUGUAUGAAGGUUGGAGUGGAAGAACUCGAGUGUCCUGCACAGAGCCCUGACCUCAACCCCACUGAACACCUUUGGGAUGAACUGGAACACCGACUGCACCCCAGACCUCCUCACCAACAUCAGUGCCUGAUCUCACUAAUGCUCUUGUAGCUGAAUGAACACAAAUCCCCACAGCCAUGCUCCAACAUCUAGUGGAAAGCCUUCCCAGAAGAGUGGAGACUGUUCUAGCCGCAAAGGGGGAAUAAAUCUAGAAUGGGAUGUUCAACAAGCAGCACAUAUGAGUGUGAUUGGUUAGGUGUCCACAAAUUUUUGGCCAUAUAGAGUGUUUGUAUAUACACUGAACAGCCACUUUAAUAGGAACACCUGUACAUCUGCUGGUAAAUGCAAUUAUUUAAUCAGCCAAUCAGAUGGCAGCAGUGCAAUGAAUUAAAAUCAUACAGAUUCACGUCAAGAAAUUCAGUUAAUGUUCAAAGAAUCAUCAGAAAGGGGGAAAAAAGUUGGUCUCAGUGAUUUUGACCAUAACAUGGUGGUUGGUGCCAGACGGGCUGGAUUGAGUAUUUCAGAAACUGUUGAUCUCAACCACAACAGUGUCUAGAGUUUGCACAGAAUGCUGUGAAGAACAAAACCAAAACCAUCCAAUAGUUGUUUUCUACAGCCAGGAAUGCACUUUACUGGUUCCAACUUACAAGAAGGAUACGAUAGCCUUCAACAAUGCCUUUGACAAAAGAAGAACAUAUUGAAAUCAUUCUCAUAGAUGGAUCGGGAACCUGUUGCAAUGGACUUUAACAGGAAACAUGGCAAGCACAUCGCACACAACACUGUUGCCAAACUUAAUAACAAAUUCAAAAAGACUGGAAGUGUUGCAGACCAACUGAGAAGUGGACGUCCACCAACAUUCACUGACGUCAUUGCAAACAUUGUCUCCUAUGUGUGGAGACUGUGUGUGUAUUUCUAUGACUUCCUAACCAGUUACCUGGACAAUAAUUCCUCUGAUAAGGACUACAUGGAAAUCUCCUUCACAGUGUCAACAACCAAAUCCUCAGAAGACAAAAGUGAAUCAUUUACCUCAAAUACAGAUCUAUUUCCAGCUAUUUCCAGAGUGCUUUAGUUCUAUAUCUGAAUUCAUGAUUACUGUUGCCUACCAGUUAGUUAUUUUUUCUGUUGGACAACAAUAAAAACCUGAUUGCA